AAUAUUAGACAAUGGGCGAAAGCCUGCUCCAGCCAUGCCGCGUGUGUGAAGAGGGCCUUCGGAUUGUAACGCACUUUAAGUUGGGAGGAUAGGUUGUAGGUUAAUAUCCUGCAAUGUUGCCGAUACCAACAGAACAAGCACCGGCUAACUACGUGCCAGCAUCCGCUGUAAUACGAAGGGGGCAAGCGUUAAUCGGAAUUACUGGGCGUAAGGAGCGCGUAGGUGGGUCGUUAAGUUGGAAGUGAAAGACCCGGGCGUAACCUGGGAAUUGCUUUCAAAACUGACGAGCGAGAGUACGGUAGAGGGUAGUGGAAUUUCCUGUGUAGCGGUGAAAUGCGUAGAUAUAGGAAGGAACAUCAGUGGCGAAGGCGACUACCUGGACUGAUACUGACACUGAGGUGCGAAAGCGUGGGGAGCAAACAGG
rnacentral:rRNA from 1 species